UACGUAGGGUGCGAGCGUUAAUCGGAAUUACUGGGCGUAAAGCGUGCGCAGGCGGUUUUGUAAGCCAGAUGUGAAAUCCCCGGGCUUAACCUGGGAAUGGCAUUUGGGACUGCAAGGCUGGAGUGUGGCAGAGGAGACUGGAAUUCCUGGUGUAGCGGUGAAAUGCGCAGAUAUCAGGAGGAACACCAAUAGCGAAGGCAGCUCGCUGGGACGUUACUGACACUGAGGCGCGAAAGCGUGGGGAGCGAACAGGA
rnacentral:rRNA from 1 species